rnacentral:lncRNA from 1 species
AAGUGGUUAAGAACCGUGGACAAAUGUCUGAGUCCCAGCAUCCACACUACGGCUCACAAUUGUCUGCAUAACCAGUUCUAGGGCACCUGGUGUCUUCUUCUGGCAUUCAUGGGUACAGCAUGUAUGUGAUACAUCAUUACAAGCAAAAUACCCACGUGCAAAAAGUUAUUAUUAAACAUUUAUCUUCACUUGCUGAUGCCAUUUGAGAUGUGAUUGGAAACGUCAGUAGAUGGCACCUAACAGGUCACAGGAGGCUUCUGAAAGAUGGACCUGCUUCCUGUUCGCCAUGAGCAUCAUGACUGAAUGCUUAGCAAGAGAAAGACGUAGAAAGGAUGGAAAUGAGAAAGGAAGAAAAGAAAUCAUCUUUAUCAACACUCUACCAGAAGUCUUAGUGGUCUGAGAAGACUGCACAGCCACUGGCCACUGCCCAGAAAGCUGCCAAGAUGUGGGAAUCCCCAGUGAGCAGAGACAGGGACAGAGGCACAUGGCAGCCUCUGCUCGCCUGCCUGUCCUGACUUC